CCUACGUGCGGCAGCAGUGAGGAAUAUUGGUCAAUGGGCGUGAGCCUGAACCAGCCAAGUAGCGUGAGGGAUGAAUGUUCUAUGGAUCGUAAACCUCUUUUAUAAGGGAAUAAAGUGUGGGACGUGUCCUAUUUUGUAUGUACCUUAUGAAUAAGGAUCGGCUAACUCCGUGCCAGCAGCCGCGGUAAUACGGAGGAUCCGAGCGUUAUCCGGAUUUAUUGGGUGUAAAGGGUGCGUAGGCGGCCUUUUAAGUCAGCGUUGAAAGUAUGUGGCUCAACCAUAGAAUUUCAGUUGAAACUGGGGGGCUUGAGUAUGUUUGAGGCAGGCGGAAUGCGUGGUGUAGCGGUGAAAUGCUUAGAUAUCACGCAGAACCCCGAUUGCGAAGGCAGCCUGCCAAGCCAUGACUGACGCUGAUGCACGAAAGCGUGGGUAUCAAACAGGAUUAGAUACCCUUGUAGUC
rnacentral:rRNA from 1 species